GAGGAAUAUUGGUCAAUGGGCGAAAGCCUGAACCAGCCAUCCCGCGUGCGGGAAGACGGCCCUAUGGGUUGUAAACUGCUUUUCCAGGAGGAGAAACUCUCGUACGUGAUACGGGAUUGACGGUACCCUGGGAAUAAGCAUCGGCUAACUCCGUGCCAGCAGCCGCGGUAAUACGGAGGAUGCGAGCGUUAUCCGGAUUCAUUGGGUUUAAAGGGUGCGUAGGCGGACUAUUAAGUCAGUGGUGAAAUCCUGCAGCUUAACUGCAGAACUGCCGUUGAUACUGAUAGUCUUGAGUUUGGUUAAGGUAGGCGGAAUGUGUAAUGUAGCGGUGAAAUGCUUAGAUAUUACACAGAACACCGAUUGCGUAGGCAGCUUACUGAGCCGACACUGACGCUGAGGCACGAAAGCGUGGGGAUCGAAC
rnacentral:rRNA from 1 species